GAUGAACGCUAGCGGGAGGCCUAACACAUGCAAGCCGAGCGGUAUGGAUAGCUUUCUAUCCAGAGAGCGGCGUACGGGUGCGUAACACGUGUGCAACCUACCUUUAUCUGGGGGAUAGCCUUUCGAAAGGAAGAUUAAUACCCCAUAAUAUAAUGAUUGGCAUCAAUUAUUAUUGAAAACUCCGGUGGAUAGAGAUGGGCACGCGCAAGAUUAGAUAGUUGGUGAGGUAACGGCUCACCAAGUCAAUGAUCUUUAGGGGUCCUGAGAGGGAGAUCCCCCACACUGGUACUGAGACACGGACCAGACUCCUACGGGAGGCAGCAGUGAGGAAUAGUGGACAAUGGGUGAGAGCCUGAUCCAGCCAUCCCGCGUGAAGGAUGACGGUCCUAUGGAUUGUAAACUUCUUUUGUACAGGGAUAAACCUACUCUCGUGAGGGUAGCUGAAGGUACUGUACGAAUAAGCACCGGCUAACUCCGUG
rnacentral:rRNA from 1 species